GACGAACGCUGGCGGCAUGCCUAAUACAUGCAAGUCGAGCGAACAGAUGAAGUGCUUGCACUUCUGACGUUAGCGGCGAACGGGUGAGUAACACGUAAGGAAUCUACCUAUAAGCGGGGGAUAACAUUCGGAAACGGGAGUUAAUACGGCAGAAUAUCUUUUUCCGCAUGGAAGAAGAUGGAAAGACGGCUCUGCUGUCACUUAUAGAGUAUCUUGCGGUGCAUUAGUUAGUUGGUGGGGUAACGGCCUACCAAGACGAUGAUGCAUAGCCGACCUGAGAGGGUGAUCGGCCACAUUGGGACUGAGGCACGGCCCAAACUCCUACGGGAGGCAGCAGUAGGGAAUCUUCCGCAAUGGGCGAAAGCCUGACGGAGCAAUGCCGCGUGAGUGAAGAAGGCCUUCGGGUCGUAAAACUCUGUUAUAAGAGAAGAACAAAUUGUAGAGUAACUGCUACAGUCUUGACGGUAUCUUAUCAGAAAGCCACGGCUAACUACGUGCCAGCAGCCGCCGUAA
rnacentral:rRNA from 1 species